rnacentral:rRNA from 1 species
AUUGAACGCUGGCGGCAGGCCUAACACAUGCAAGUCGAGCGGAGCGGCGGACGGGUGAGGAAGGCCUAGGAAUCUGCCUGGUAGUGGGGGAUAACGUCCGGAAACGGGCGCUAAUGCCGCAUACUAUCAGAUGAGCCUAGUUCGGAUUAGCUAGUUGGUGGGGUAAAGGCCUACCAAGGCGACGAUCCAUAACUGGGCUGAGCGGAUGAUCAGGCACACUGGAACUGAGAAACGGUCCAGCCUCUUACGGGAGGCAGAAGUGGGGAAUAUUGUACAAUGGGCGAAAGCCUGAUCCAGCCAUGCCGCGUGUGUGAAGAAGGUCUUCGGAUUGUAAAGCACUUUAAGUUGGGAGGCGUUACCAACAGAAUAAGCACCGGCUAACUCCGUGCCAGCAGCCGCGGUAAUAC